rnacentral:rRNA from 1 species
AGCGCAACCCUUGAUCUUAGUUGCCAGCAUUCAGUUGGGCACUCUAAGGUGACUGCCGGUGACAAACCGGAGGAAGGUGGGGAUGACGUCAAAUCAUCAUGCCCCUUAUGACCUGGGCUACACACGUGCUACAAUGGACAGAACAAAGGGCAGCGAAACCGCGAGGUUAAGCCAAUCCCACAAAUCUGUUCUCAGUUCGGAUCGCAGUCUGCAACUCGACUGCGUGAAGCUGGAAUCGCUAGUAAUCGCGGAUCAGCAUGCCGCGGUGAAUACGUUCCCGGGCCUUGUACACACCGCCCGUCACACCACGAGAGUUUGUAACACCCGAAGUCGGUGAGGUAACCUUUUAGGAGCCAGCCGCCGAAGGUGGGACAGAUGAUUGGGGUGAAGUCGUAACAAGGUAGCCGUAUCGGAAGGUGCGGCUGGAUCACCUCCUUUCUA